rnacentral:rRNA from 1 species
UACGUAGGGGGCCAGCGUUGUCCGGAUUCAUUGGGCGUAAAGCGCGUGUAGGCGGCCAGGUAGGUCCGAUGUGAAAUCUGGAGGCUCAACCUCCAGCGGUCAUUGGAAACCAUCUGGCUAGAGUCCGGAAGAGGAGAGUGGAAUUCCUGGUGUAGCGGUGAAAUGCGCAGAUAUCAGGAAGAACACCAAUGGCGAAGGCAGCUCUCUGGGACGGUACUGACGCUGAGACGCGAAAGCGUGGGGAUCAAACAGG